rnacentral:rRNA from 6 species
GGUUAAGCGACUAAGCGUACACGGUGGAUGCCCUGGCAGUCAGAGGCGAUGAAGGACGUGCUAAUCUGCGAAAAGCGUCGGUAAGGUGAUAUGAACCGUUACA